rnacentral:lncRNA from 1 species
AAGGACAUUUACUUGUCAGGACUGAGUGAGGAUGACAAAAGGAACGUAAAAUGCCCCAAACAGUGCCCAGAGUGUAGCAUGUGCUCAAUAAUAGUAUCUGCCAUUCCUCUUAUUAUUGUACUACCUCCCACCUUGGAUGUGAACCUGAGGCCCGGGAUGGGGUGGGGAGCCUGCCACUCUUGCCGGCAACCGUUAAGACAAGCAUGAAGAUAAAAUCCAGGAAGCUAAGCAUGGAAGAGGGAAAGCAGACAGAGCCAGGAGCCCUGGGGCAUUGGUGAGCAGCCAGACUGCCCACGCUGGACCUCUGAUUAUCAAAGGGAUGAAUCUCUAUCCUGUGAAGAGCAUAGCUGCUGAUCAUCCCAAAACUGGAGCCAUCUUAAUGUGAACAACAGCUUUCCUCCCCGUAAUGCCCGUGCCAGCCAUUGAGCCACCCAGGAGGAUCUGGGGAGCCCCAAGUCUCCAAAGCAGAAACAAAAGGGAAGACUUGUCCGAGAUUACCUUAGUAAUAAGCAGCUAAUUAUAAUAUUAAUUUGCAUAAUACCCUCCCUUUUAGCAGUGAUUUCACUGCGAAAACCAAGUGGUAUUAAUGAAAAAAAAAUUGUUUCCAGCUGCCUAAGCCCAGAGGCUAAUCCAGGAAUUGAUGCCCUUGCAACAAUGACCAUAAGAUCUCCUUGUGGGCAGAGCCUCUGAAGGCCUGUUUGGGCAGCUAACCCUUCUUUUGAGCGCUCUUUUUUACCUUCAGUGGUUGAGACUGAGGUCUUAAAACUGCUCCUGCCAAUGACAACCAAAGUUACCUGCCAGAGCAGAAAGAAACAAAAGAAAAGGAAAAUCUUAAAUUAUGCGUUCCCUUCUUUAGAAUGGGCCUGUG